AUGGACGAAGAACUCGAUGAAGUGGUCAUCGGGGAGGAUGAGGCAAGAUCCUUUGAGGCGGGGACGAAGUGGAUGGCAAUAGCUAGGGUUAACACUGAUCGGCCCUUUAGUUCGACGGCGUUCUUUGCAAAUAUGAAAUUCAUAUGGGGCCUUGCGCAGACCCCGAAAUUCCGAGAGGCUGGGGAAAAUUUGUUCAUCUUCCAGAUGUUUUGCCUUGGAGAUUGGAAAAGAGUGGUCCAUGGAGGGCCAUGGUUGUUUAGAGGUUUGCUGGUGAUAGAGGAUUAUGACGGGAAAACAGAUCCGGAUAAAAUUGUGUUGGACGGACUGUAUGUUUGGGCUCAAAUUCACAAGGUGCCGGUAGUGUACCGUCAAGAAUCGGUGGUGGACCAGUUAGCGCGCAGGAUUGGGAAGGUGAGGGAGGUGCAGCUCCAGCCAAAAUUGUACUAUGAGGGUGACUAUGUGAGAGUCAGGGCAAGGGUUCUAACAGCAAAAACCUUUGACCCGUUUCACACCUCUCACUGUGACGGGUGA
rnacentral:rRNA from 1 species